rnacentral:rRNA from 1 species
AACGAACGCUGGCGGCAGGCCUAACACAUGCAAGUCGAACGCCCCGCAAGGGGAGUGGCAGACGGGUGAGUAACGCGUGGGAACCUACCCAGUGGUACGGAACAACCCAGGGAAACUUGGGCUAAUACCGUAUACGCCCCUAGGGGGAAAGAUUUAUCGCCAUUGGACGGGCCCGCGUUGGAUUAGCUAGUUGGUGGGGUAAUGGCCUACCAAGGCAACGAUCCAUAGCUGGUCUGAGAGGAUGAUCAGCCACACUGGGACUGAGACACGGCCCAGACUCCUACGGGAGGCAGCAGUGGGGAAUCUUGGACAAUGGGCGCAAGCCUGAUCCAGCCAUGCCGCGUGAGUGAAGAAGGCCCUAGGGUUGUAAAGCUCUUUCGGCGGGGACGAUAAUGACGGUACCCGCAGAAGAAGCCCCGGCUAACUCCGUGCCAGCCGCCGCCGUAA